rnacentral:lncRNA from 1 species
CAAUUGGUCAAUGCAAGGCACGUGCUCAGUGUUCCCCUUUGCCAGUCUUGAUUGGGCCGUCCGGGGCACGUGACCAGUGGGCCCAGCAUGCCCCGCGCGCGCGUGCGCCCUGGUGUAAGGCGGGAACGCAGGCGCGGGAGGCCCCGCCGUGUGGGUCCUGGGGCGCGUGGCACUGGUCAGGCCCCGGGUGCCGCCCGCCUCCCCAGGGCGCCCCGUGGUCCGCGGAGCCGCUCUGGGCGCGCCGAGGACGGGAGGAGCGCCGGCUUCCAGAAGCUGGGCGUCGAGGUCUCUGCAGACCACCUGGAGCUUGCAGCAGGGGUGGGCUGCGAGGGCACCCCCGCGCCCCGGGCCUCUGGAAGAAGGAGGGGCUGCCCCUGUCGGCACUGCCUGUGCCCAGGAAACAGCAGUGCAGAGAGGAGGCAGAGCUCCUGUCCCGUGGGGCUUAUCUUCCAGAGCAAAAUGUGAAAAUAUCCAUCCUGCUGACUUUGAUAAGCAAUACCGACAAGCACCACCGGGGGACGACACAGCACAAGGGGAAGUGGGUGUGACAGCUCAGGGCUCUCGGCCAGAACGUCCUCGCUCUUUCCAUGGAAAUUCUCAAAUACAUUGUGUAUUUUAACUAAAGGAAAAUACUGAAAGUGAUAUAGUAGAGAGCACUUUUUAUGGAAAAUUAAUUGAUAACACAAUCUUAUUUCAACUUUCUUUUUAUUUUUAACUGAAAUGACUGUGUAUAUUCCACAGUCUUAUGAUGAGAAAGGCUCCAGAAUCACGUCCA